GAUCAUGGCUCAGGAUGAACGCUGGCGGCGUGCUUAACACAUGCAAGUCGAACGAUGAAGCCCAGCUUGCUGGGUGGAUUAGUGGCGAACGGGUGAGUAACACGUGAGUAACCUGCCCUUAACUCUGGGAUAAGCCUGGGAAACUGGGUCUAAUACCGGAUAGGAGCGUCCACCGCAUGGUGGGUGUUGGAAAGAUUUAUCGGUUUUGGAUGGACUCGCGGCCUAUCAGCUUGUUGGUGAGG
rnacentral:rRNA from 1 species